rnacentral:lncRNA from 1 species
UUAUUAAUGUUGAAACAUUUAUAAGUUAGGAAUGCUUUGGUUAUAAAUAGCAACAUAUCUGACUAUAAUUUACAUCUGUAGAGCUGUUCUGGCUCCUUAUACUAUGUAACAAAACACUCACAAAUUUGUGGCUUAAAACAAUAUUCAUUUUGCUUCCAAAUCUGCAAUUUGGGCAGGGCUCAGCAGGGGAAGCUCAUCUGCGCUCCACUUGGCUUCAGCUGGGAGUGGGCCGCAAUCACCUGAAGGCUAUUCACCUGCUUACUUGGUGCCUGAGUAGAUUCAAAUGUCUAGGGGCUGGAACAGCUGGGGCCCCUUGGGCAUGUAUCCCUUUGUGCUUCCUCGCAGUGAGCUAUGAUCACAUCCCUACAUUUUAGCCUGGGUGACAGAGCAAGACCCUGUCUCUAAAAAAACCAAACCAAACAAAAAACAGCCCAGUCUCAUGCAGUGGCUCACACUUGUAAUCCUAGCAGUUUUGAGAGGCUGAAGCCUGAGGCCAGGAGUUUGAGACCAGCUUGGGCAACACAGUGAGACCACUGCCUCAAAAAAAACAAAACAAACAAACAAAAAAACCAAAAAAACCCCAAGCUCUUUUGACCAUUUUUCUCAGCAUCUUUAGGGUCUUGGCUUAUCAUGUUAUGUUGAUAUAAUGGAAUGGCUUCUGCAUCUCCAGUCAUCACACCUGUAUUUUAGGCAGAACAAAGGCAGAAUGUCAUUUAUUCUCCACCGUGCCCCGGUAUAACCAUGCGGCUGAAUUCCUCUUAGAUUAAAUUGCAUCGCAUGGCGCUGUCAGGAGCUCAGUAGAGCUGGAAGGGAGCUGAGCUGUCAGGUGUUAGAGUAGCCACUUGAAGCUACAACAAGCACAAAUGGAAGUAAUAGCGAAGACUUUAAUCCCGCACUGCAGUAGUACAAGCAAGAGGCUAACACUGGAGGGAGUGCUGAGCUCUCCUGCUUCAUUUUCCCCUUGGAACAAUGCACCCAUACGGUUCAGGGUCAGGAGGAUCAGCACAGAUGUGGGGGUCAUCUCACUCUUGAGGGGGCCCCUAACCAAAGGCUUCCUGAAGGGUUGUGGACCAGGGGCUGGGGAGUUGGGUAGUGAGAGGGGAAAAAGCUGAGAGUGUAAAAGUACUGAGUCAGAGUGAAGAAAGGUGUCUUCCCUUAAGGGUCCCUGAGCCCUCCGAACAGAGCACCUGGACUAGGAAAGCAGAUCCACAAAAGGGCAGGAGCAGCCAGAGGAGGCUGACCUCUUGCCAGAGACUCUCUGAGGUGGCACCGGCUGUGCAGCCUUCCGGUGAGGCCUGACGGGUGAUGCCUCUGGAAUAGCAGUCGGUCAGGCCGUGGCCAGUGGAGAGCCCGGCCUGGCAGCACCCCUCAGGCUUCGCCGCUGCCUUGUGUGCAUCCCAAGCAAUCUUUGUCAGCAUCCCCAUGGCCACAAAACUUCCUGGCUCUUUCUGUGCCUCGCUUCUGUUUCCUGUACAUCCCUUUCCUUUUUCUGUCCGUAAAUCUUCCUCCACCAUGUGCCUAAGCUGGAGCUUCUC